rnacentral:rRNA from 1 species
UACAGAGGGGGCAAGCGUUGUUCGGAAUUACUGGGCGUAAAGGGCGCGUAGGCGGCCCGCUAAGUCGAACGUGAAAAUCCCCCGAGCUCAACUCGGGAACUGCGUCCGAUACUGGCGGGCUUGAAUCCGGGAGAGGGAUGCGGAAUUCCAGGUGUAGCGGUGAAAUGCGUAGAUAUCUGGAGGAACACCGGUGGCGAAGGCGGCAUCCUGGACCGGUAUUGACGCUGAGGCGCGAAAAGCCAGGGGGAGCAAAACGGGG